rnacentral:lncRNA from 1 species
GGUAUAACUGUCCCUCCGAUCUGAGACCGCCAUGGUGACUUGCAAGCAACUCACUGCACUUAGGCACUGGACUACCUGAAUUUCUAAUUCAGUGACGGAAGGAUGCUGGGUGUAGUCAAGUACUUGACUUGUCGGUGCGUGUGUCAAGAUGUGAUUGACCACUCCAGUUCAGGAGCUGUGUACAGUCGUGUUUCAAUUUAGCAAAACCUUGGCUAGGGUAGUCCUAGUGAGGAGUCACAGGACUGUUUGAGUUGAGCACGAUUCGGAUGAUCUGAUUAGGGUUGACAGUUUAACCCUGAGUCGUUUAAACACAGGGGUCAAAAGGGAUGAAUUAUACAGUAACCAUAUUCAUGUAGGUUCUGAGUGUUGCGAUUGAGACUAUUCGACCUAUCUGAAUGUCGGGUACCAUUGCUAGAUGGUCACUUCGAUUAGUACAGGAAUUGGUUCCUGUGCUACCGGCUUAGGUUCGAACCUGUGGGAUCACACACAUUAGAGGUUCCUAUCUGAUCUGAUGGCUGAUGAAGAGUCCUAAUACUCAUGGACUAUGAGUCCUAUAUGUCUGAGACUCUGUGAUUGAGAAUCAGGAUUCUCUGAUCAUGAGUCCCACACAU